rnacentral:rRNA from 1 species
AGAGUUUGAUCCUAGCUCAGGAUGAACGCUGGCGACGUGGAUAAGGCAUGCAAGUCGAACGGAUACUAUAGCAAUAUAGUGUUAGUGGCGAACGAGGUAGUAAUAAGUAGGUACGCACCCUGAAGUCAAGAAUAACCGAUCGAAAGAUCAGCUAAUACUUGAUAGUCUCUUCGGAGUAAAGCGCAAAUUCAUUUUUGUACGCUUCAGGAGCGGCCUGCUCGGUAUCAGCUAGUUGGUAGUGUAAAAGACUACCAAGGCAAUGACGCCUAGGGGAGCUGAGAGGCUGACCCCCACCGAUGGAACUGAGACACGGUCCAUACACCUACGGGUGGCUGCAGUCGAGAAUCUUCCGCAAUGGGCGAAAGCCUGACGGAGCGACGUCGCGUGAUUGAUGAAGUCUUUCGGGAUGUAAAGAUCUUUUAUGAGGGAGAAAGGCCGCAAGGCUUGAUAGUACCUCAUGAAUAAGGGGUUGCUAAACUCGUGCCAGCAGCAGCGGUAAUACGAGUGCCCCAAGCGUUAUCCGGAAUUAUUGGGUGUAAAGGGUGUGUAGGCGGUUUUGUUAGUCGUGUGUCAAAGCUCUGGGCUUAACCCAGAAUCUGCAUGCGAAACGGCAAAACUAGAAGAUGCGAGAGGUCUGUAGAACUCAUAGUGUAGGGGUGAAAUCCGUUGAUAUUAUGGGGAAUACCAAAAGCGAAGGCAGCAGACUGGCGCACUCUUGACGUUGAAACACGAAAGCGUGGGUAGCGAACUGGAUUAGAUACCCAGGUAGUCCACGCCCUAAACGAUGUUCAUUUGCUUUUCGGAGUAUCGACCCUCUGAGAGGCGUAGCUAACGCGUUAAAUGAACCACCUGGGUAGUACGACCGCAAGGUUAAAACUCAAAGGAAUAGACGGGGACUUGCACAAGCGGUGGAUUAUGUGGUUUAAUUCGAUGGUAAACGAAGAACCUCACCAGGGUUGGAAAUCUACGUGAAAGCUCCGAGAAACCGGAGCCCUCGCAAGACUAGUAGACAGGUGCUGCAUGGCCGUCGUCAGUUCGUGGUUUGAAUUGUUCCCUUCAGUGGGGUAACGAACGCAACCCUUGUUGUCUGUUAUAAGUAUCAGACGAGACUGCCCCCUCUCGGGGGAGGAAGGUAAGGAUGACGCCAGGUCAGCAUGGCCCUUUGAUACCCUGGGCUACACACAUAAUACAAUCGCCGUUACAACGUGACGCAAUACCGCAAGGUGGAGCAAAUCAUAAGAAAAACGGCGCCAGUUCGGAUUGGGGUCUGCAACUCGACCCCAUGAAGCCGGAAUCGCUAGUAAUCGCGGGUCAGCUAUACCGCGGUGAAUACGUUCUCAAGUCUUGUACUCACCGCCCGUCAACUCAAGGGAGUUAGGAGUACCCGAAAUCUCGCCUAGCGCGGGCUUACGGUAAGCUUAAUGACAGGGAGUAAGUCGUAACAAGGCACGGGUAGCGGAAGCUGUUCGUG